UACGUAGGUGGCAAGCGUCGUCCGGAUUUACUGGGUGUAAAGGGCGUGUAGCCGGGCUGACAAGUCAGAUGUGAAAUUCCGGGGCUCAACCCCGGACCUGCAUUUGAAACUGUUGGUCUUGAGUAUCGGAGAGGCAGGCGGAAUUCCUAGUGUAGCGGUGAAAUGCGUAGAUAUUAGGAGGAACACCAGUGGCGAAGGCGGCCUGCUGGACGACAACUGACGGUGAGGCUCGAAAGCGUGGGGAGCAAACAGG
rnacentral:rRNA from 1 species